rnacentral:rRNA from 1 species
GACGAACGCUGGCGGCGUGCCUAAUACAUGCAAGUAGAACGCUGAAGGAGGAGCUUGCUCUUCUGGAUGAGUUGCGAACGGGUGAGUAACGCGUAGGUAACCUGCCUGGUAGCGGGGGAUAACUAUUGGAAACGAUAGCUAAUACCGCAUAACAGUAGAUGUUGCAUGACAUUUACUUAAAAGGUGCAAUUGCAUCACUACCAGAUGGACCUGCGUUGUAUUAGCUAGUUGGUGGGGUAACGGCUCACCAAGGCGACGAUACAUAGCCGACCUGAGAGGGUGAUCGGCCACCCUGGGACUGAGACACGGCCCAGACUCCUACGGGAGGCAGCAGUAGGGAAUCUUCGGCAAUGGACGGAAGUCUGACCGAGCAACGCCGCGUGAGUGAAGAAGGGUUUCGGAUCGUAAAGCUCUGUUGUAAGAGAAGAACGAGUGUGAGAGUGGAAAGUUCACACUGUGACGGUAUCUUAACAGAAAGGGACGGCUAACUACGUG